rnacentral:rRNA from 1 species
AACGAACGCUGGCGGCAUGCCUAACACAUGCAAGUCGAACGAGAUCUUCGGGUCUAGUGGCGCACGGGUGCGUAACGCGUGGGAAUCUGCCCUUUGGUUCGGAAUAACAGUUGGAAACGACUGCUAAUACCGGAUGGUGACGAAAGUCCAAAGAUUUAUCGCCAGAGGAUGAGCCCGCGUAGGAUUAGCUAGUUGGUGGGGUAAAGGCGCACCAAGGCGACGAUGCUUAGCUGGUCGGAGAGGAUGAUCAGCCAGACUGGGACUGAGACACGGCACAGGAUCCUACGGGAGGCAGCAGUGGGGAAUAUUGGACAGUGGGCGAAAGCCUGAUCCAGCAAUGCCGCGUGAGUGAUGAAGGCCUUAGGGUUGUAAAGCUCUUUUACCCGGGAUGAUAAUGACCGUACCGGGAGAAUAAGCUCCGGCUAACUCCGUGCCAGCCGCCGCCGUAA